rnacentral:misc_RNA from 1 species
CAGAAGAUCCACUGAUCAUCCCAAGCCUUGCCCUUAUUAUAGAUGACCGCAGCACCAAAGCUUCUUGCCGGGUUGAUCCCGGUACCGGUGAUCGGAAUCGUCGCCAAAUGCACCAUGAAAACAGCAAAUCCAAUUGGAAGAGGAGCCAAAACCGGAACAUGGGAGUCCCUGGCAUUGCGCUUCGGGUCGGUGGCGGCGAAGACGGUGUAGACAAGCACGAAGGUUCCGAUGAUCUCGGCGGCGAGCCCAGUCCCCUUCGAGUACCCGGCGCUCAGCUCAUUAGCGCCGCCGCCGUACCUGACAUAGAACGCCUUCUGGAAGCCCUUCACAAGCCCGACACCGCAGAUGGCGCCGAGGCACUGCGCUAUCAUGUAGAGCACCGCCCGGAUCAGAGACACCUUCCUUGCCAGAAACAGUCCGAAGGUGACGGCGGGGUUGAUGUGACCGCCGGAGAUGCCGGCGGUGCAGUAGACGAGGAUGAAGAUCAUGCCGCCAAAAGCCCAGGCGAUGCCGAGGAUGCCGACGCCCUCGCAGUCGGCGUUGGGGGUGCCGAGGGUGGUGUCGGAUUGGUGCUUGUAGCCGAUGACGGUGGCGACGGUGAUGUAGAGGAAGAGGAGGGUGGCGACGAAUUCGGCGAUGAGGGCGCGGUAGAAGGACCAUUUGGUGAGCUCUCCGAUGCCGAGGAAGGGAGCGGGGGGAGGGUCGGUGUAGUCCUUGGCGGUGAAGCCGGCGCCGCCGGGGGCUUCUUCGGUGUCCUUAGCCAUUGUUGCGGAGGUGGGGGUGGAGGUGAAGGAGGAGGAGAGAAUUAG